rnacentral:rRNA from 1 species
AGGGAUGUAUUUAUUAGAUAAAAAACCAAUGCCCUUCGGGGCUCCUUGGUGAAUCAUAAUAACUAAGCGAAUCGCAUGGCCUUGCGCCGGCGAUGGUUCAUUCAAAUUUCUGCCCUAUCAACUUUCGAUGGUAAGAUAGUGGCUUACCAUGGUGGCAACGGGUAACGGGGAAUUAGGGUUCGAUUCCGGAGAGGGAGCCUGAGAAACGGCUACCACAUCCAAGGAAGGCAGCAGGCGCGCAAAUUACCCAAUCCCGACACGGGGAGGUAGUGACAAUAAAUACUGAUACGGGGCUCUUUUGGGUCUCGUAAUUGGAAUGAGUACAAUCUAAAUCCCUUAACGAGGAACAAUUGGAGGGCAAGUCUGGUGCCAGCAGCCGCGGUAAUUCCAGCUCCAAUAGCGUAUAUUAAAGUUGUUGCAGUUAAAAAGCUCGUAGUUGAACCUUGGGUCUGGCUGACCGGUCCGCCUCACCGCGAGUACUGGUUCGGCUGGACCUUUCCUUCUGGGGAACCUCAUGGCCUUCACUGGCUGUGGGGGGAACCAGGACUUUUACA